rnacentral:lncRNA from 1 species
CACUGCUCUGCCUCCUCCACCACCACUGACAUCAGGAAGUCUGCAGGUGGCCGGACACCCGGCCGGGAGCACUUACUCAGAGCAAGACAUCUUGCGACAGGAACUGAACACUCGUUUUUUGGCCUCUCAGAGUGCUGACCGCGGGGCUUCCCUGGGCCCUCCGCCCUACCUGCGGACCGAGUUCCAUCAGCACCAGCACCAGCACCAGCACACCCACCAGCACACGCACCAGCACACCUUCACGCCGUUCCCCCACGCCAUCCCACCCACCGCCAUCAUGCCGACGCCAGCACCUCCCAUGAAACCAGGGAAGUGGUGUGCUAUGCAUGUUCACAUCGCCUGGCAGAUUUACCACCACCAACAGAAAGUCAAGAAACAGAUGCAGUCAGACCCACAUAAGCUGGACUUUGGACUGAAACCUGAGUUCCUGAGCCGCCCUCCAGGCCCCAGUCUUUUUGGAGCCAUCCACCACCCCCAUGACCUGGCACGGCCUUCAACUUUGUUCUCUGCCGCUGGUGCUGCACACCCAACUGGGACCCCUUUUGGGCCACCUCCUCAUCACAG